rnacentral:misc_RNA from 1 species
CUAUCAUUUAUAAAUCUUGCAAAUAUGUCAUGAAUUAUGUACAAAUUUUCAAAGAAGACUUCCAAUUUAGUAUGAUGCUUGUUAAGAAACAGCACAAUUAUGUCCUGUUGCAAAUUCUUGUGCAUACUGAAAACAAUUCUUUCCAUCCACACGUUGACAUAAGAUGACCUACAAAAAUUUCAUCACCAUAACUUUCUUUCCAUCCCACUAAAACCAUUGUAUCUCACUACACAUGCAAAGAAGCCACCUCUAAUUCCCUUAAAUUUAACACAACAGUAGGAAAAUUUCCACAUAUUAUCUACCAUACCAACCAAUGUUUUUCCAGUUAAUCACAAGAAUAUCAGAUCUUUGAGGAGAUUGCAUCUGUACCAAAGAACUUAACCCCAAAGACGAUCAAUUAUUUGAUCUAGUAGUUCACUACAUAAAAAAAGAACUUAAGCAGUCAACACGUGUAUGAAUUUAUUCAAGAUAAGGAGCAAAAACUGUCAAAACUUCCUUGUAAACAGGUUUCUUGAAAUCUACAGCCUGCAAAGCAAUAAAAAAAUUUAUCAAUAAUAGAAUGCUAUUUAUCAAAUUUUUGCUAUUCACCUAUGCAAAGCUUUUGAAAUCUUUAGAGAACUUCCUUUACCAAGAGUUCUUUUCCCCCUCUUUUUCUCAAUAGUACUUGCCCAGAGUUUCAAAAUCCUAUAUCAAAUGCAAGAGGGGAGUAGAUCCCACGGGAUUACCUAACCAUGUUAUAUAAAAACUUUCUUUUGUACACGUUGAUGUUUUGAAGCAAGGGAAGCAGCUUUGAGAGAGAAAGAGGGAGAGGGGGGAAAGGGUAGAAGAAGGGAGAGGAGAGGUUGGGUUGGGAGAAAUUUGUUUUUUUAUUUUAAUUAAUAAUAAAAAUUAUUUUUAUUUCAAUCUUGAUCCAUGGAUACAAUUGAAAAUUAGUUUACAAAUUGCAAUAAAUUAGUCAAAAUUAAAAGAUUUGGAUAUAAUUAAAAAAAGAAUUUUCUUUUGUCAUUAGGCCAAAAAAUAAAGGCAAAUGAUCAGAAGCAGCAAGAGAUGUUGUGGCCGAUCAAUCCAUUGAUGUGGGUCACACAAAGGGACUCACAUGGGUUGCUAUCUGGGGGACCAGGAUUGUGCAGCCACUAUAGUCAGGACUGAAAAAAUCAGCCUUCAGAUCUUUGUUUUUUGAAAACAAAAAAGCCCAACACUUUCAAAAAACAGAUGUCUGAUACUCUGAUCAUUAAACACAUGCACAGUUUGAGACUUAGCCAAAUUUAGCUCUAAGACCAAGUUCAACUAUAGCUAAAAAAUAUUAGGGCCAAAGCCAUUGCUAGACAGACUCCAUUUUUUGUUUUCUAAUUUCUUAUUCUUUAUGUGAAAAAUUAUUUAAAUGAUCUUUUUCAUACAUAAAAUUAUAAGUGCCACAGCACCAUGCCCAUCCCUUUGUUGCAGUCACAUACGUUAUGACUACACCAUCUCAACUGUCCAUUGCAAUGAUGCCUUGUGAAGUCAAUAAUGCAAUGAGUGGUUGCCAUCAUGGUCAAGUAUUUGCCCGGGUGACAUCCAUGACCACUCACCAAAUUCAGGUUUCUCUGUGCCAUCACCCAAAAGAUUGAUCUCUUCCUCUUUCCCAGUGAAUUUAAGAAGAAACCACUUCUGCGCUUGACCUUUCCAGUCAGAUCCCCAUUGACGUUUAAGUUUUUCCCUGACUUCAGGUGGGAAGUCAUAUGUCAACCAAUAAGGUGCCUCUGCAAGAAUUUCUGCUGAGAUAAUCCCUGUCUCUUCUUUUAAUUCCCUUACGGCUGCAAUUUUAGGAUCUUCAUUCUCAUCUAUACCUCCCUGAGGCAUUUGCCAAGCAUUGGGUAUAUCCAGCCUCGAAGCAGCAAAAAUCUUUUUAGAUGGAUUGAUCAGACAGAUACCCACGUUUCUUCUGUAACCUUCUGGAGCAGAUUCCAUGGAAAAGGAGGUUGAUGAUAGGCACAGGGUUCUUGAGAUUAUUGCACUGUGAGUGUAGCUCUGCGGGUUCUGGUAUAUAAGAGGCAGCUUGGUAAAUUUGGACAACUUAUGACGGUAGAUUAGGAAAGGUAAAGUGGAUUUGGAAAAAAUGGAAACAAUGGGGAGUGAAGCUGAGGGAGAAUGACUGAAAACGGAUCGGCAAA